GGAAAUGACGGGUGAGCGACGGUGAAGUUCCAGUGCGGUUUUCGGGACUUCCGGUUUGUUCGGUAAUCGGUUUUGGAAAAUCGAUUCUCGUGGGUUUAUUUGUGGGGUUAUUCUUUUAGGGUUUCUUAGUUGUGGGUUAGACACUAACCUAGUGGACCCCCCUUAGGUCCUGUUGACGUUCUUUUGCAGUCAGAAGACAGGCGCGACAGUUGUACAGGUGGGUACUUCGAUCCGACGUUGGUACAGUGGUGCACN
rnacentral:lncRNA from 1 species